CCCCGCUCUCGCUGCUCACGUGCCGCGCAGGUGAUCCUGAUGGGCCUGGUGGAGGGCUACCGUGUGAACGGCGGCCCGGCCGGCGAGGGCCUGGACCCGCUGUACCCCGGCGAGUCGUUCGACCCCCUGGGCCUGGCUGACGACCCGGACACCUUCGCCGAGCUCAAGGUCAAGGAGAUCAAGAACGGCCGCCUGGCCAUGUUCUCCAUGUUCGGCUUCUUCGUGCAGGCCAUUGUGACCGGCAAGGGGCCCAUUGAGAACCUGAACGACCAUCUGGCCAACCCGGCCGUCAACAACGCCUUCGCCUUCGCCACCAAGUUCACGCCCAGCGCGUAAUGUAUCGCUGCUACGUUUGCUAGUCGAAGCGGUUGUCCGCAUCUGCCGGCCGCUGCUGCCUUCAGCUACGUUACGUUGUUUAGCUAUGUGAACGUAGACACAACAUACCCAAUAAACUGCCAAUACCGGUAUACGAGACGUCACAUGCAUAGCAAUUGCAGGCAGUAGUUGCCUAUCCGUCGCUGUUGGGUAAAUACGCUUGGAUGCGCAGCUUGCCAAAACUGUUGAGUGAUGCGUGGGUGCUUGUCAGUUAUUUCCAUCGAACCUCGUUGUCGCACUGUGGCCACCUCUGUUUUUAAUGUCGUGUUCCUGCGAUGAGUUCCCGCGUGGUGAGUGGUGAGCAGCGGCGGAAGCGGUCCUGUUACGGGCCUGAAGUUUUGAUGUGGGUGUUUCCCAGUAGGGGUUUCCCACAGCACGGGUGUUGAGGUGGAGCUCUUACUUUUGGGUGGGGUAUUGGGCGGUGAGACGUGAGAUAUCAAGAGCUUCAUACAAAGCGCAUGCACGUGCUGGGUGCGUUGCGCCAAGCAAGCUCCUGUAACAUUUCGGUGUUCAUGACAUAAGGAAGGUCUCGGUUCCAGUGCUUGUUUCACCGCUUCUUGGGGCGGGAGCACAUACAGCCAUUUUGGUGGGCGCGUACUGCAAAGGCGGCCACGCAAACAGGCACACAUGGAGAACACGCGCGAGACACGAGCUAAAGGAACAUGUCAUUCAGAGGGAUGAUUCGAGGUGCAUAUGGCCACGCUCUAUCGCGCGAAAGAAGCCAAGGGUUAUCGUGGCUUUCCUGUGUUAGCGAAGUGAGCUAGGCGCUUAAUCGCGGGUUGAUGGCCUCGGUUGUCGUACAGUGCAAGAGUUAAACUUCAGCAAACCACGUUGGUAGGUCACUCCCCGCCGACAUCAUCACUGGCGCGGCAUAGGUCAUCGCCAAUCCCUCUAGCGUACAGCGGCCUCGGCCUCCGCGAACCAGGCUCGCUACCUUCCUCACAGCCAGGAACUACGUUGCCACUGGAAGGUACCCCGAUGCACCAAGAAGGCUUAUUGUGGCGCUCGCCUCGGGCUUAUGUGUCCCGUUUCGGAUAGCACAGCAUCAGCACCACGAAAAACCUGCCGAUAUGCAUAACAAAAAAUCACACACACACACCAACACACACACACAUACUUACAAACACAAACACACACAAACACAAACCACACACUCACUCUCUUUCUUUUUCUUGUCAUGCAGAAACACACAGACGCACACCCACACCCACACACAUGCACACACGCGCACACACAUGCACACACACACACACACACGCACACACACGCACAUACGCACACGCACACGCCACACUUAAGUCGAAGGAAAAAGGCACGAAGUCGGACUGGAGCCUUGUAAUGAGUGAUGCCGUUACCUGGAUUACAGUCCGGUGUAGAACCAUGGGACGUGCAAUGAUAUGGAGUCUUAAAAGCUCGGCAACCAGAUGGACGCCGCUGCAUGCUGGCUACUGCUUUCAGUAUCACCCUGGCUGGCAGGCCCCUUUCGAUCAGUUUCGCAUCCGCAAGGCCAGAGCAUGCAGCAUCGCCAAUGGUUUGACCACCUGCUCCCGUAACUUAAGAACCAAAUACCGAAUGCCAGUGCCAUGGGUCCAGUACUCCCCCAGAAAGGCAGGAUGACACACAAAUAGGCUACCCGCUGUCCCUUGUCUAUCUGGUACUGCCCCGCGACUUUAUGCAUAAAACUGCUGGUCACAAGAAGUUCUUCUUUGUUCCUUUCACAGUUCAAUUGGUAGCCUGAAGCUAAGCAUGCGUGGAGUGCUGAACAUGUAGCGUGCGUGGUGAAACCCCUGGCAAAAGAGGUAACAAACAGAGGGCGUGCUGGCGUUCCGUUCAGUACUUCAGAGGUCAAAGGCAAGCCAUGGGCAAAGUAGGAGCUUUUCCCAGGUGCCAGCCUUAGGCUCCGACGUUUGGAAGCCCGUGGCCGAUUGUAAGUUGCGAAGAGCUCAUGCGUUUGGUCGAGGCCGACCGUCCUCCCUUGAUCGGACGACAGGUUGCUACGCACGUGCUUGUUGCUUUCCUUCGGUCCUAAACGGCCUCCGGUUCGGCGCUGUCGCCCUUUUGCGGUCCAGCAGAGCUUGGACCUUGUGUUCACCGGCCCUGUCCGGGAUGGAAUGCCCUUUGCCGUCCUAAGCAGCGUGACCCAUUAUAUCAGCUUGCUUCCUAGCAAGGACAACAGCUACUGUCCUCCCGUCCUACGGUACUGGUAAUGAGUAAAGGCCGAACAGCUAGGGUCAAACAUGGAGAGACCACUUUUGGCGCCUAAAGAAUGCAUUGCAGUGCGUAUCAAAAUCCAUGUUCAGCGUGCACGUCACAGCAUUUAUACAGUCGCCACUGAGUUAUCCCUGCAUCAGAAACUUGUAUGAAACUUGCAAGCAGGUGUAGCAAAUCGUUCAUGCCAAUCUGUGCAAGUGCAGAUAGCUGUUAAGCGCAUGUGUUGCAGGUGUGCCAUGUCUGUAUCCUGCGAUCUCUGUUAGGUAAGCGCCCUGUCCCACGGACAGGACAGGGAUACGGCGUGCGUACGGCAUCAAGAUUUGCUUGCAAAACAAAAGCGCUGGUUGCCUGUGCUUUCAGUAUCAGUUCUCUCCUUUGUGCAGCAGAGUCUGAUCACCUUACGAACAUCUAAAAUGGCUUUCGCUCUCGGCACCUCGCGCGAGGCUCUGCAGGUCGCAUGCAAGGCGACCGGCAAGAAGGCCGCUGCUAAGGUCCGUUUUAUUUCGACACCAUUUAUUUUAUCAGCGUACCUUACAUAGACGCACAUACGUAUUUGCAGUGUCCUCUGGCUAACCAGAGACGUUUGUCCCGUUCGCAACAUCUUUACAGCCGGCUGCCCCCAAGAGCUCUGGCAUCGAGUGGUAUGGCCCGAACCGCGCUAAGUGGCUCGGUAGGUUAUCCUGGAGAUCCGAGGAGAUCCGAUAUGCAGCGGGUGUAGCGCGUAUCGGAGGGCCGGAAUAAUCGGUCGGUCUCCUGCAUGGUCCUCCUUUCGGCGCAACAUGCCGCAGCGUCAGGUUUCUGUGCGCAGGCUGCUCUCUCGGUCCUUUGCUGACAUCGCGCGAUGCAUGCUGCGAUGAAGGGCACAGGUUGCGUCUUUCCCCCUUUCGCGACCUGCCGUUCAGUAGCCCGCUGCCGCCGUAUGUCCGCUUUCCCCUUCUGUGCCCACAUCGGACAGGCCCCUACAGCGAGAAUGCCACCCCUGCCUACCUGACUGGCGAGUUCCCCGGUGACUACGGCUGGGACACUGCUGGCCUGUCUGCUGACCCGGAGACGUUCAAGCGCUACCGCGAGCUGGAGCUGAUCCAUGCACGCUGGGCCAUGCUUGGCGCUCUGGGCUGCCUGACCCCCGAGCUGCUGUCCAAGAACGGCGUGCAGUUCGGUGAGGCUGUGUGGUUCAAGGCCGGCGCUCAGAUCUUCCAGGAGGGCGGCCUGGACUACCUGGGCAACCCGUCGCUGGUGCACGCUCAGAACAUCGUCGCGACGCUGGCGUGCCAGGUGGGCGGGAGGGACGUGGCUGCAUGCUUAGGAAUGUGUCCGGUCGCCUUACUUGUUAGCUGGCUAGGUGAAACAAGGUGGGGCGCGGCAACUGUGCUGCCAGCCCUUGACUG
rnacentral:lncRNA from 1 species